UCAUGCCACUGCCACAGUUCAGUCACUCACACGCCGAUGUGCCGCCUCCUGCACCUCACACCGCCCUUCACCAUGGAUUCGUAGUGUUACUGUGUAAGCCGUGUGCUUAGUGAAAGUGCACGCGUAAGGGACAUGUGCGUCCCUUAACUUCAAACGCGAUCGGGGACACUGGCGAGUGACUGAGGGAAUCAUGUUACCGUGGAUGAAACGGGAAAGGAUACGCCUGUGGACACGUCCCUGGGUGAGUAGAAGAGGAGAAAGGAGUGUCUACCACACUCUUUUGCCUGAGCUGAGCGAGGACGACCAAGACACCAUAGGGCAGUGGCUACGCCUCAACAGGGAGCAGUACCAUGGUGUCCUGCAGCUUGUGACUCCCUUUAUCAGGAAGGAAGAUACCCACAUGAGGGAUGCAGUGACACCUGGUGAACACUUGACACUCACGCUGCGUUAUCUACCAACAAGUGCUCCUGUCAGGGAUCACCACAGCGGAUCAACCUUCUCGAGCGCUCGACCUUCUGCGUCUUCCUCACACUCAUUACAAGCAUGCCUUUCACUGCAUCCGUAAAGCUUCUCUUAGGUCUUCCUUUCUUCAUCAUGCCGUGUUGGAGUUUUCUCCUCGUAUACUCCUCGUCUUUCUUCUUGAUAUACCCAGACUAUCUCAAUCACGCCUCUGUCUUUUACCCAAAACUAACGUACAUGCAUAGUGACUCUGAUGUAAUUUUGUUCUUGGUUUUGUUUCACCCCGUCACUCCAAGAGAAAAUCACAGCAUCUUCAUUACAACGUCUUCCGACUCCGUUUUUGUCUUUUUGUCAGCUGUACUGUCUCUGUAUCAUACAACGUGCCUCUCCUUGCUACCGUCUUGUAUACCUUCCCUUUUUUUUUUUUUUGUGGAAACUUUUCUAUCGCAUUUCACUCUUGUUACCUUCCUCCAGCCAUUCCAUCCAGCCUGGAGUUUCUUCUUAGCCUUUAUACUACCACUUCAUUACUUUGUAUCGUGACGCCCAAAGCUUUCCCAUCCAUACUCCUUAAAGCUUUAGUGUUUUCCUAUAUCAUCCUUACUGAAACGUACACUUAGCCUCAGUCCUGCUCACCAUGAAUCCCCUUCCUCUCCACCGCACAUCUCCAUCUUCCAAGCUCUACUUCCAUUUCCUCCCAGCUCUCACAGCAAGUCAUGGCGUCAGCUGUAAAUAUCACUUCUUAAAUUAAGUAUUUGGAAUUCCUUUCUUGCACUCAGAUAUAUAAAUUUUGCGCUCUGUUCAGCAGUAAAACACUUCAAUAGUACACAUUGUCUUUUCGUAAAUAAAGCACUUAAAACAUA